rnacentral:rRNA from 1 species
CCCUUAGAUGUUCUGGGCCGCACGCGCGCUACACUGACGAAUGCAACGAGCUUAUAACCUUGGCCGAAAGGUCUGGGUAAUCUCCAAAUUUCGUCGUGAUGGGGAUAGAUUAUUGCAAUUAUUAAUCUUCAACGAGGAAUGCCUAGUAAGCGCAAGUCAUCAGCUUGCGUUGAUUACGUCCCUGCCCUUUGUACACACCGCCCGUCGCUCCUACCGAUUGAAUGGUCCGGUGAAGCGUUCGGACCGUGGCCUUUGGACGGUUCGCCGUCAGUUGGCUGCGGGAAGUUCGUUAAACCUUAUCAUUUAGAGGAAGGAGAAGUCGUAACA